rnacentral:rRNA from 1 species
UACAGAGGGUGCAAGCGUUGUUCGGAUUUACUGGGCGUAAAGAGCGCGCAGGCGGUCGUGCAAGUCGCGUGUGAAAGCCCCCGGCUCAACUGGGGAGGGUCACGCGAUACUGCUCGACUUGAAGGCAGGAGAGGGAAGUGGAAUUCCCGGUGUAGUGGUGAAAUGCGUAGAUAUCGGGAGGAACACCAGUGGCGAAGGCGACUUCCUGGCCUGUUCUUGACGCUGAGGCGCGAAAGCUAGGGUAGCAAACGGG